GCCGUCGUGGCCAUGGUGGCCGCCCUCCAAACUUGCCGAGCUAAUUUUGGCUGUUAAUAGGGAGACGGAGGUUCGAAUCCUCCCGACGGCA